AUUGAACGCUGGCGGCAGGCCUAACACAUGCAAGUCGAGCGGAUGAGUGGAGCUUGCUCCAUGAUUCAGCGGCGGACGGGUGAGUAAUGCCUAGGAAUCUGCCUGGUAGUGGGGGACAACGUUUCGAAAGGAACGCUAAUACCGCAUACGUCCUACGGGAGAAAGCAGGGGACCUUCGGGCCUUGCGCUAUCAGAUGAGCCUAGGUCGGAUUAGCUAGUAGGUGAGGUAAUGGCUCACCUAGGCGACGAUCCGUAACUGGUCUGAGAGGAUGAUCAGUCACACUGGAACUGAGACACGGUCCAGACUCCUACGGGAGGCAGCAGUGGGGAAUAUUGGACAAUGGGCGAAAGCCUGAUCCAGCCAUGCCGCGUGUGUGAAGAAGGUCUUCGGAUUGUAAAGCACUUUAAGUUGGGAGGAAGGGCAGUAAGUUAAUACCUUGCUGUUUUGACGUUACCAACAGAAUAAGCACCGGCUAACUUCGUGCCAGCCGCCGCAGUAACAC
rnacentral:rRNA from 1 species